rnacentral:rRNA from 1 species
CUCAGUAACGGCGAGUGAAGCGGUAACAGCUCAAAUUUGAAAUCUGGGCCUUUCAGGCUCCGAGUUGUAAUUUGUAGAAGAUGCUUUGGGUGCGGCCCCGGUCUAAGUUCCUUGGAACAGGACGUCAUAGAGGGUGAGAAUCCCGUAUGUGAUCGGUGGCUUGCGCCCGUGUAAAGCUCUUUCGACGAGUCGGGUUGUUUGGGAAUGCAGCUCUAAAUGGGUGGUAAAUUUCAUCUAAAGCUAAAUAUUGGCCAGAGACCGAUAGCGCACAAGUAGAGUGAUCGAAAGAUGAAAAGCACUUUGGAAAGAGAGUUAAACAGUACGUGAAAUUGUUGAAAGGGAAGCGCUUGCAACCAGACUUGCGCGGGGUUGAUCAUCCGGGGUUCUCCCCGGUGCACUCGGCCCCGCUCAGGCCAGCAUCGGUUUUGGUGGUUGGAUAAAGGCCUUGGGAAUGUGACUUCUUUCGGGGAGUGUUAUAGCCCUCGGUGCAAUGCAGCCUACCGGGACCGAGGACCGCGCUUCGGCUAGGAUGCUGGCGUAAUGGUUGUAAGCGACCCGUCUUGAAACACGGACCAAGGAGUCUAACAUCUAUGCGAGUGUUUGGGUGUCAAACCCAUGCGCGUAAUGAAAGUGAACGGAGGUGAGAACCCUUAAGGGCGCAUCAUCGACCGAUCCUGAUGUCUUCGGAUGGAUUUGAGUAAGAGCAUAGCUGUUGGGACCCGAAAGAUGGUGAACUAUGCCUGAAUAGGGUGAAGCCAGAGGAAACUCUGGUGGAGGCUCGCAGCGGUUCUGACGUGCAAAUCGAUCGUCAAAUUUGGGCAUAGGGGCGAAAGACUA